rnacentral:rRNA from 1 species
UACGGGGGGGGCAAGCGUUGUUCGGAAUUACUGGGCGUAAAGGGCUCGUAGGCGGCCAACUAAGUCAGACGUGAAAUCCCUCGGCUUAACCGGGGAACUGCGUCUGAUACUGGAUGGCUUGAGAUUGGGAGAGGUGAGUGGAAUUCCUGGUGUAGCGGUGAAAUGCGUAGAUAUCAGGAGGAACACCGGUGGUGUAGACGGCUCACUGGACCGUAACUGACGCUGAGACACGAAAGCGUGGGUAGCAAACAGG